GAGUUUGAUCUUGGCUCAGGAUGAACGCUAGCGGCAGGCUUAACACAUGCAAGUCGAGGGGCAGCACGGGUAGCAAUACCUGGUGGCGACCGGCAAACGGGUGCGGAACACGUACACAAUCUACCUUUGUCUGGGGAAUAGCCCGAAGAAAUUCGGAUUAACACCCCAUAAUAUAAUUGGGCGGCAUCGUUUGAUUAUUAAAACUCCGGUGGACAAAGAUGAGUGUGCGUCCCAUUAGCUAGUUGGUAGGGUAACGGCCUACCAAGGCGACGAUGGGUAGCUGGUGUGAGAGCACGACCAGCCACACGGGCACUGAGACACGGGCCCGACUCCUACGGGAGGCAGCAGUGAGGAAUAUUGGUCAAUGGACGCAAGUCUGAACCAGCCAUGCCGCGUGAAGGAUGAAGGCGUUCUGCGUUGUAAACUUCUUUUAUCUGGGAAGAACCUCAGUUUUCUAAUUGAGCCGACGGUACCAGAGGAAUAAGCACCGGCUAACUCCGU
rnacentral:rRNA from 1 species